AAUAUUGGACAAUGGGGGCAACCCUGAUCCAGCCAUGCCGCGUGUGUGAAGAAGGUCUUCGGAUUGUAAAGCACUUUAAGUUGGGAGGAAGGGCUUUAGGCUAAUACCCUGAAGUUUUGACGUUACCUACAGAAUAAGCACCGGCUAACUCUGUGCCAGCAGCCGCGGUAAUACAGAGGGUUCAAGAGUUAAUCGGAAUUACUGGGCGUAAAGCUGUCGUAGGUUGUUUAGUAAAAUAGGUGUUAAAUCCCCGGGCUUAACCUGGGAACUGCUUUCAUAACUGCUGAGCUAGAGUACGGUAGAGGGUAGUGGAAUUUCCUGUGUAACGGUGAAAUGCGUAGAUAUAGGAAGGAACACCAGUGGCGAAGGCGACUACCUGGACUGAUACUGACACUGAGGUGCGAAAGCGUGGGGAGCAAACAG
rnacentral:rRNA from 1 species